rnacentral:misc_RNA from 1 species
AGGGGUGUUUGAGGGAUCCUGUGUUGCGUUUUUUAAUCGAUCAGUAAUUCAGAUUCAGUUGCUACCGGAUCGAACUGUCGGGCCGCACUCCUCUUCAACAUCCUCCCCUUGUAUCGUUAAAGAAGAAGGGGUGUUUGAGGGAUCCUGUGUUGCGUUUUUUAAUCGAUGGAAUUUAUGAUGCGUUAUCAUCCGUUGUCCGUCGAGUCGCCUCGUUGCCUUUUCGGUGGACCUUUCCUCGAGCCCGGUGUCCCGGCCGAGUCGAUCAAGAUGAUCCGAUCGUGUCGGUGCAUCGGUGCCCGAUCGUGCUUUUGGAUGCGGAAAAUCAUGUGGGCGUAGGGCCAAGGCCUCGGUCGCUCGGCUUAUUUGCAUUUCGUCCCUCGACACGGUCGAUGCUCUUGCCUCUUCACGGCCUCUCGCCAACCGAUACGGUGCGAUGUUGGCCGUGCGGGGCGGACGUCGCCAAGGAAUGCUACCUGGUUGAUCCUGCCAGUAGUCAUAUGCUUGUCUCAAAGAUUAAGCCAUGCAUGUGA